GAACUCGCACAAGCGGUGGAGCAUGCGGUUUAAUUCGAUGCAACCCGAAGAACCUUACCAGGUCUUGACAUCCCAUUGACUAAUCUAGAGAUAGGUUAUUCCUUCGGGACAAUGGAGACAGGUGGUGCAUGGUUGUCGUCAGCUCGUGUCGUGAGAUGUUGGGUUAAGUCCCGCAACGAGCGCAACCCUUAUCAUUAGUUGCUAACAGUAAGAUGAGCACUCUAAUGAGACCGCCGGUGACAAACCGGAUGAAGGUGGGGAUGACGUCAAAUCAUCAUGCCCCUUAUGACCUGGGCUACACGCGUGCUACAAUGGCCGGUACAAAGAGUCGCAAAACCGCGAGGUGAAGCUAAUCUCAUAAAACCGGUCUCAGUUCAGAUUGUAGUCUGCAACUCGACUACAUGAAGGUGGAAUCGCUAGUAAUCGCAAAUCAGCAUGUUGCGGUGAAUACGUUCUCGAGUUUU
rnacentral:rRNA from 1 species